GGCCGCCUGGCGAAAUGGCAUCGCGUCUGACUACGAUCAGGAUGCAACUUGUCCCCAGUCGAAAUCAGGAGAUUGCAGGUUCGAGCCCUGCGGUGGUCA
rfam:Gloeophyllum trabeum ATCC 11539 unplaced genomic scaffold GLOTRscaffold_00012, whole genome shotgun sequence.